CAUAGCGACUAUCGUGGCAUAUCAAUAAGCGGAGGAAAAGAAACUAACAAGGAUUCCCUUAGUAACGGCGAGUGAAGCGGGAAGAGCUCAAAUUUGAAAUCUUCAGGGUUCUACCUUGACGAAUUGUAGUUUAUAGAAGUGUUUUCUGUUAGUGGAGUGGCAAAAGUUCUUUGGAAUAGGACAUCAUAGAGGGUGAGAAUCCCGUAUUUGGUCAUUCCUCCUAGCGUUGUGAUACACUUCCAACGAGUCGGAUUGUUUGGGAAUGCAGUCCAAAAUGGGUGGUAAAUUUCAUCUAAAGCUAAAUAUUGGCGAGAGACCGAUAGCGAACAAGUACCGUGAGGGAAAGAUGAAAAGAACUUUGAAAAGAGAGUUAAACAGUACGUGAAAUUGUCAAAAGGGAAGCGUUUGACACCAGUGUUGUUUUUCCGAAAAUCAAUUACGAAUGUUUUGUUUUUGAGGAGUUAUGACUUCAUCGGCUUGCUCCUUUCUUUAUCGAAACUUUCUUAAUGCACUUUUCGGUUAACAAGUCAACAUCAAUUUCUUUUGUUGUAAAAGGGUAUGAGGAAGGUGGCUUUCUUUUCGGAGAAAGUGUUUAUAGCCUUGUGCCUCUACAAUCGGAGAGAUUGAGGUCUGCAGCGUAGAUCCUUCGGGGUUAGAUACAGUUUGUGCUAAGUUAUAGCUUUUCAUAGACAACUUGUUGACUAUAAUUUAAGUCUUGUAACUUACUCGCUUAUGCUAUUUUACCUACGCUUAGGAUGUUGAUAUGCAUGACUGAUAU
rnacentral:rRNA from 1 species